ACUAGAGUCAAUGAUCGUAGAUGUCUUGAUUCUUUGAGCCGCAUACGUAUUUGGUCUCUACAGAUAUCCAUACGAAACUCUUGAUCUGAUCGAAGAUUUUUUGAUCUCCCUAGAGUACUAGCUCCUUUGUAGAGAUCCAUUCCUGAUGGUUGAUUGAAGAUCUUUUUUAAUCUCUUUGACCCAUUCAGAGAAGAAAAAGAUUUUGGAGGAAGAAGAGGUGGAGGAAGAAGAAGAGAACUCUUCUUUUUUUCUCUCACAAAAUCCCAAUGCCAC
rnacentral:lncRNA from 1 species